AUUGAACGCUGGCGGCAGGCCUAACACAUGCAAGUCGAACGAGUGGCGGACGGGUGAGUAAUGUCUGGGAAACUGCCUGAUGGAGGGGGUUAACUACUGGAAACGGUUGCCAAUCCCGCCUACCAUCGGCUUUGCCCUGAUGGGAUUAGCUAGUAGGUGGGGUAAAGGCUCACCAAGGCGACGAUCCCUAGCUGGUCUGAGAGGAUGACCAGCCACACUGGAACUGAGACACGGUCCAGACUCCUACGGGAGGCAGCAGUGGGGAAUAUUGCACAAUGGGCGCAAGCCUGAUGCAGCCAUGCCGCGUGUAUGAAGAAGGCCUUCGGAUUGUAAAGUACUUUCAGCGGGGAGGCGUUACCGACAGAAGAAGCACCGGCUAACUCCGUGCCAGCAGCCGCGGUAAUAC
rnacentral:rRNA from 1 species